rnacentral:misc_RNA from 1 species
AAAGAGGUAUAUUAUAUUAAGACGAAGGAAAUUAAUAUUAUAAAUAAGAGAAUAGUCAAAAGGUUAUUCGACUUUACUUAUAAGACUUUCACCUAUUGCAAAGAAGGUGAACCACCUAAAAUUUAAUAUUUUAUGUAUUUAUUUUAUUUAUUUAUAAUUUACAUGCUUUUACGAUGCAUAAAUUGGUAUUAGAACUUGAAAAUGAUAUUAGUGAGUUUGAUUAAAGGUGAAGUUGCACGUGUAGAGUUAAAAAAUUGGAGAUUUGAAGGAUUCAAGCUCAAAUAUGAAGAUUUGAUGGUUGAAAACACCUAAGGACUCAAGUAUGUAAUGGUUAAAUGAUUUUUUGAGUCAAUGUGAAUAUUGUUAGAAUUAUGACUCAAAA